rnacentral:rRNA from 1 species
GUCGUUAUGCCUUGACGAGUAAGAGGGUCACGACGGUGAGCGCAGAAGGGUCAGGGCGAGAGCCUGCCUGGAGCUGCCGUUGGUGCAGAUCUUGGUGGUAGUAGCAAAUACUCUAGCGAGGGCCUGGAGGACUGACGUGGAGAAGGGUUUCUUGUGAACAGCCGUUGCACAAGAGUCAGUCGACCCUAAGCCCUAGGAGAAAUCCGAUGAUGAUGGGUUGCUUUGAUAGCUCCUAUCGGGCGAAAGGGAAUCCGGUCCCUAUUCCGGAACCUGGCUGCGUAACCGCAACUCUGCGAGCACUUGCUUGCGAGCGCUCGACGGGGUAACCCAAACUGGCCUGGAGACGCCGGCGGGGGGUCUGGAAAGAGUUUUCUUUUCUUUAUAAGCGUUCGAGUACCCUGGAAUCCUAUAGCAGGGAGAUAGGGUUUGGAAUGCGAAGAGCACCGCAGUUGCAGCGGUGUCCGGACUUCUCCCCCGGACCUUGAAAAUCCAGGUGAGGGCUACGCGGAAAUCGCGCCAG